CCUGGCUCAGGAUGAACGCUGGCGGCGUGCUUAACACAUGCAAGUCGAACGGUGAACACGGAGCUUGCUCUGUGGGAUCAGUGGCGAACGGGUGAGUAACACGUGAGCAACCUGCCCCUGACUCUGGGAUAAGCGCUGGAAACGGCGUCUAAUACUGGAUAUGUGACGUGAUCGCAUGGUCUGCGUCUGGAAAGAAUUUCGGUUGGGGAUGGGCUCGCGGCCUAUCAGCUUGUUGGUGAGGUAAUGGCUCACCAAGGCGUCGACGGGUAGCCGGCCUGAGAGGGUGACCGGCCACACUGGGACUGAGACACGGCCCAGACUCCUACGGGAGGCAGCAGUGGGGAAUAUUGCACAAUGGGCGCAAGCCUGAUGCAGCAACGCCGCGUGAGGGAUGACGGCCUUCGGGUUGUAAACCUCUUUUAGCAGGGAAGAAGCGAAAGUGACG
rnacentral:rRNA from 1 species